CCGGCCAUGGCGACGAUGCCUCUGCAGGGCUUGCGGGGAGAGGAGGAGAUUCGGAGAUUGGAAGAGAAGAAAGGCUGGGGAGAGUGGUCGAGGUUGGAGAAGGAUCGGCGGAGGCCUGAAAAUUGAGUGGCGGAGGAAUAGGAAUAGGAGGGAGUUGUGGCCUUGGGGGUCGACAAUUGAGAUGCGAGUGAUGUUGAGGUCACUGCCGCCAUCGCCUAGUUUCUGGCUAGCUUAGCUUCUGCUUCUGCUUCUCCUUGGACGUCUAGCCGCCUGUUUUAUGAUG
rnacentral:lncRNA from 1 species